GUAAGGAAUAUUGGUCAAUGGAGGCAACUCUGAACCAGCCAUGCCGCGUGCAGGAAGACGGCCCUCUGGGUUGUAAACUGCUUUUAUCUGGGAAUAAACCUACCUUCGUGAAGGUAGCUGAAUGUACCAGAAGAAUAAGGAUCGGCUAACUCCGUGCCAGCAGCCGCGGUAAUACGGAGGAUCCAAGCGUUAUCCGGAUUUAUUGGGUUUAAAGGGUGCGUAGGCGGCCUGUUAAGUCAGGGGUGAAAGACGGUGGCUCAACCAUCGCAGUGCCCUUGAUACUGAUGGGCUUGAAUGGACUAGAGGUAGGCGGAAUGUGACAAGUAGCGGUGAAAUGCAUAGAUAUGUCACAGAACACCGAUUGCGAAGGCAGCUUACUAUGGUCUUAUUGACGCUGAGGCACGAAAGCGUGGGGAUCGAACAGGAUUAGAUACCCUGGUAGUCC
rnacentral:rRNA from 1 species